GGUUAGGAGGGUUCGGGUUAUAAAUGGGCCUCUCAGUCUGAGUCAGGGCUGGCCCGAGAGCAGGGGGUGGGGGAGCAAGGUUACUUUGAGGCAGUUCCUGAGAACUGGCGGAGGGUUCAGGACCACACCUCCCUCCCUCACCUUGCCCAGUGGUCUGGGAGGCUGUCGGUAAACACUGAGCACCUCCUAUGUGUCAGCCAAGGGCCAGGGAUGCAAAAACAGGUCCCAAAGAGCUGACUGGUAGGUUGGGGGUGAGAAGGACAAUAUGCAAACAAAUAUAGCAAGUAUGUCCUCCACAGGUAGGAAUUAAUUAAGAGGGAAGGUGACUUGGAAUUUGAAUCUGAAUAAGACUGGGUCUCUCUAGACACUCUUCUGUAGAGGAAGGGGUGGAGGGGUACUGGGGAAGAGAGUGGACAAAUCCCUGGUCCACUCUUGCCUAAGUUCCCUCCUUUGAAGAAUGAGAAUGGGCCUCCGACCUUCACUGAGCCUUAUUUUCCCCUUUCCUAAAAUAAUGCUCCUGGCCUUCUCUGACCCCCAGUUUCCAUCCACCAGCCAACAAGCACCAGGUCAGCCCCGGCUCAGAGCCCUCUCAACGAUGUUUCUGGAUUGAUACAAAGUAACCCAGGGCAACAGCUUCCCAUUCAGCUGUGUGGAAAUGGAUACAAAAUCGCUACAAAGUAUAGGUUCUGCUGUGUGGAAAUGGAUACAAAAUCGCUACAAAGGGUAGGUUCUGCUGUGUGGAAAUGGAUACAAAAUCGCUACAAAGGGUAGGUUCUGCUGUGUGGAAAUGGAUACAAAAUCGCUACAAAGGGUAGGUUCUGCUGUGUGGAAAUGGAUACAAAAUCGCUACAAAGGGUAGGUUCUGCUGUGUGGAAAUGGAUACAAAAUCGCUACAAAGGGUAGGUUCUGCUGUGUGGAAAUGGAUACAAAAUCGCUACAAAGGGUAGGUUCUGCUGUGUGGAAAUGGAUACAAAAUCGCUACAAAGGGUAGGUUCUGCUGUGUGGAAAUGGAUACAAAAUCGCUACAAAGUAUAGGUUCUGCUGUGUAGAAAUGGAUACAAAAUCGCUACAAGGUGACUCAGAGGCUACAAAGACAAAAACUACCCCGGCCAGUCUCCAGGUGGCUUUUGUCUGCGAUGGAGCAGGGACUACAGCUCAAAUGCAAGAUCAGAUGGGCUCGGCAGCCAUUCCACAUAUUGAAGACCCUCUGGUGAUGGGGAGCUCACUACCUUCCUUGGUUAUCUCUAAUUGUGAGGAAGCCGUUCCUGACUUCGAACCUGAAUUGGCCUCUUGGAUCCUCCUGCCUUAAUCCUUGGAUCAUGGAGUACUUUGCUAAUAAUGAGGGCAGAAGUUAUUACACAAUUAAGUAUCAGAUCACCGUGGCAGACAGCUAGAGAUGGAGGAGGAAUGGCGAAGGAGAGGGAGUCAAAGAGGAGGAUCAGAGGAGGGGGAUGAGGAGAGACUAGAAUACUGGGGGACUAGGGGAAGGGAGAAAGACUGGAGGAGGGGAAAUGGAAAGAAGAGGAGGAGGGGAAGGGGUUUGAGGGAGAAAAGAAGAGGGGGAGGAGUUAGAUGAAGGGAAAGGGAGAUGAGGGGAUUCCUGGAUGUGGCAGCUAGAGUAGAUUCCAAAAGCAGAGGGUGGGAAGGCAGGACAGUGAGUGGCGUCCAAUGGGCCACUCCUGGACAGACGGCCAGGGCUCCCCGGCUGCCUGAAGCCCCUCAUUGCAUUCUGGGAUGGAGAAGCCGAGGGGGUCUUUGUCAGGGGCACAGACCCCCCCUCUCCCAGCUUGAAGCGGGCACCCAGUGGCCUUUUUAUCCAAGAGGUGGCUCUUCAUGUCCUUGCUCCACACUCACCCGAGUCUGCUGGGUCUCCACAGAAUUAGGUGCAAGGAAAGGGGAGGAAGGGAGGACAGAGCUCAGAUAUCUGGAAGCUGGGGAAAGCUGCAUCAAAGAAUCCGAGCCCUUCAAAGGCCAGGAACCCCCUAAUUUUACAGAUGGGGAAACCGAGACCCAGAGAGGCAUUCAGAGUCCCACCGGUGCCAAGCAUCUGCAGGAAGCUCAGAACCCAAGUCUUCCUGAUCACAGCGCGGUCCCCCUGCAGGUGAGAUGGAGUCUGGGGUCCCACUACCCAGAACAACUUGGUUCCCAUAGGUCCGGGGGGCUCAGGAAUAGGAAGAAGCAUGAGGAGUGGGAUCCCCAAAGUUUGGGGGUUCUGAGAAAGGAGGAUCAGAAGACAGAGAUUCCCUGAUAAAGAUCUGAGAAGCCCAGGGACCAGAAGGGGAGCCAGCCCCCCGCCCCCAGUCAGAGGGAGUCUGGGAAAAGGAGGAUGAGGAACAGAGGUGGCAGUCUGAGGAGUCUAGAACAGAGAGGAGAGGCAAUUGCAGGGAAACCAGAAGGAGCUGAGGUCUGCAGACAUCUGGAGGGCAGGCCCAGCCCUGGGGGGG